rnacentral:rRNA from 1 species
GACGAACGCUGGCGGCGUGCCUAACACAUGCAAGUCGAACGAGGACCAAGGGAGCUUGCUCCCUGAAGACCUAGUGGCGAACGGGUGAGUAACACGUGAGAAACCUGCCCUCGAGUGGGGAAUAACCCGGGGAAACCCGGGCUAAUACCGCAUACGCUCCUCUGGUCGCAUGGCCGGAGGAGGAAAGUUUUUCGCUCAAGGAGGGUCUCGCGGCCUAUCAGCUUGUUGGCGGGGUAACGGCCCACCAAGGCUACGACGGGUAGCUGGUUUGAGAGAACGAUCAGCCACACUGGGACUGAGACACGGCCCAGACUCCUACGGGAGGCAGCAGUGGGGAAUCUUGCGCAAUGGGCGAAAGCCUGACGCAGCAACGCCGCGUGCGGGACGACGGCCUUCGUGGUUGUAAACCGCUUUCAGCAGGGACGAAAAUGACGGUACCUGCAGAAGAAGCUCCGGCUAACUACGUGCCAGCAGCCGCAGUUAA